AUGCAUUUGCAUUGCAUCAUCAUGCAUUUUACUAUCAAAGUACUCAUACCUAAUCUUUCGUUCAUUCAAUUAAUAAGGCAAGCUGAUUUCCCGACAUCUGAAGAAAGAUGGAUAACUUCGUACAAGAACAUGCGAAGAAAUGUCAAUGAGCUCCAAAGAUUCAUGCCCAAGCUCAUGAAGAUGCUUCACCAAUCCCAUGCCCUGAUCAGUGCCAAGCCAAUAAAUCAGAUGGGAUAG